rnacentral:lncRNA from 10 species
CGGAGAUUCUGCUUCUGCAGGCUGAGAACAAGUGAAGACUCAGGACAUUGGACUCUCGGCUCCUCCUGGAGGGGAUCUGGUGAAGCUCUGCAUCUGAGGACCUCAGGGAAGAAACCACCAUCAAGGCACGUAGCAGCCAAGCCCCAGUCUAGUCUAGAGUCCAGCCCAAGGAGGUGGGGAAGAGGAGGUGAAAUCAGUCAAGGGACAAUGAGGAAGACUCCGAAACAACCACUUACAAAUAUGAUGAUAUUUGCAGAAGAGCUUGGGAAGACCAGUGUGGAAAAUUCCUUUAUGCCAGAAAAUGCAUCUGUGGCACGUUUUCAAGCAGAAACAAGACGGGAUUGUGAAGGCAACACAGCCUAGAAUUUGCAUGUGAUUAAAUUACAACCAAAGAAGUUGUGUGCAUACAUGCACACACACAAAUCAGGAAGAUGAAAAUAUGUGGGGAUGAGACCAUUAGACUACAAGCUCAGUGAGAGCAGGGACUGGGUCUCACAUUUUCAAACCUCAGCCCAGGGCAUGGCAAGAGAACUCUUUGCAGACCUGAGCUGAAUCACAACUAUGGAAACUACAAUUAAAUAAGAAUAUGAAUGUCCUGCAAAGUCAGAGGGAAAGUUCAAUAAAAAGAG